UUAGUGGCGGACGGGUGAGUAACGCGUGGGUAACCUGCCUUGUACUGGGGGACAACAGUUGGAAACGACUGCUAAUACCGCAUAAGCGCACAGCUUCGCAUGAAGCAGUGUGAAAAACUCCGGUGGUACAAGAUGGACCCGCGUCUGAUUAGCUGGUUGGUGAGGUAACGGCCCACCAAGGCAACGAUCAGUAGCCGGCCUGAGAGGGUGAACGGCCACAUUGGGACUGAGACACGGCCCAAACUCCUACGGGAGGCAGCAUG
rnacentral:rRNA from 1 species